GUAAUUUACCGUUAUGUUUGUUUGCAGUUUCUCAAGCUGAAACCGGCGGCAUCGAUAAACCGCAAAAGCACAUGAAAGGUCCAAUUUCAAUGAAUAUGCCAUAAAUCUGGUCGGUUGAAGCUCCCAUCAUUGGUUGGUAUAUAAGCAGACGUGAUUCAACAUUUUACUCAACAUCAAUUCCAUGUUGCGCGAGUUAGAGUCGUCGGAAAGGAGGCGAUGAUCAAUUCAAGGUUAGGGGUUAUGAGUUGAGGAGUACCCAUCCCACUCAGAUUCUCGUAAACCCAUUUCAGUUCAGCGUUAUUUUGUAUCAGUCUUGACUAAAACAACCUAAGAUGAAAGCUAAACGUCCGACUAAAGCUCAACGAUUGUCUUCGACUACAAUCAGCACACUUCCUCAAACCAUAAUAGAAAACAUCCUAUGUUUUUUACCUAUUCGAGAGGCAGCACGGACAAGUAUCCUCUCUAGGG